UUUUUCAACAUUUGACCUCAAAUCAGGUAGGACUACCCGCUGAACUUAAGCAUAUCAAUAAGCGGAGGAAAAGAAACCAACAGGGAUUGCCUUAGUAGCGGCGAGUGAAGCGGCAAAAGCUCAAAUUUGAAAUCUGGUACUUUCAGUGCCCGAGUUGUAAUUUGAAGAAGGUAUCUUUGGGUCUGGCGCUUGUCUAUGUUUCUUGGAACAGAACGUCACAGAGGGUGAGAAUCCCGUGCGAUGAGAUGAUCCAGACCUAUGUAAAGUUCCUUCGACGAGUCGAGUUGUUUGGGAAUGCAGCUCUAAGUGGGUGGUAAAUUCCAUCUAAAGCUAAAUAUUGGCGAGAGACCGAUAGCGAACAAGUACAGUGAUGGAAAGAUGAAAAGAACUUUGAAAAGAGAGUGAAAAAGUACGUGAAAUUGUUGAAAGGGAAGGGCUUGAGAUCAGACUUGGUAUUUUGUAUGUUACUUCUUCGGGGGUGGCCUCUACAGUUUAUCGGGCCAGCAUCAGUUUGGACGGUAGGACAAUUGCGGUGGAAUGUGGCACGGCUUCGGUUGUGUGUUAUAGCCACUGUCGAUACUGCCAGUCUAGACUGAGGACUGCGGUUUUAUUACCUAGGAUGUUGGCAUAAUGAUCUUAAGUCGCCGUCUUG
rnacentral:rRNA from 1 species